rnacentral:misc_RNA from 1 species
UAAAGUGCGAUAUCUAAUGUGAUUUGCAUGAAUCUGUGAGUCAUCUAGUCUUUGAACGCAACUUGCACCUCUCGAGAAAUCGAGCGGUAUGUCUGUUUGAGAACCACAAACCUCUUUGCUUUACCUUAUCGUGAGCAGAUGUGAGACACUGUGGGUGUCUUGAAAUAAAGCAUGCAAGGCUUAUGAGCGUGUGCCAUGUGCUAGAGAUCGCAAGAUCUUGUCAUGGUAUACGGGAGUAGCCGAACCCAUAUUUUAUUUAAUUGAGGUCUCAAAUCAGGCAAGAUUACCCGCUGAACUUAA